rnacentral:lncRNA from 8 species
AUGUUGCAGUGGAUUUUCAGGUUGACUGACGGUCGGUGUUGUGUGGUUCUGAUCUUCAGAGAGACACCAGGAUGGCAACUGAAGGGGCCACAGAGAAGAGAGCCAACUUGGUGGCAUCUAAAGUCAUGUGGAGUAACAGGGAUGACGUACCUAUGUCAGCACCAGAACGGUCACAUGGCAGUGACAGAGCUGGAAUCUGUAGACAGAACAACGUCCAACAGUGGCUUAGAAGUCAUGAGGCGGAUGCAAAACCAGACCACACCAGAGAAGCUGCAGCAGGGCUUCUUAAGAGGAACGCCAGCAGUGAGGAUGACUUAGCGUUGGGCGUCGAAGCGUCUUUAUAUGGUAAACAGGGAGUGAGGACCGUCCAGGAAUUUCUGAGGUAAGGAACAUUCCCUCUCUACUGUCCUGUCGGCUGGUUGCUGUCAAACUUUUGGCGCAUUGAAAUGAAUUACAACAGAGGGUCUAUACAUUGCGAGAUUACACAUCCAUGUAUAAAUAAUUUGUCUGUCACAUUUGAUGUUAUGUUAUCCAAUAUUUAACUUGCAUAUAUGAUUACUAUGCAUAAAUGGGUUAAAAUGUUUUAUUGACCCCAUAAAAAUACUAACAUUUCUCUCAAAGUGAGGUUAGAUUGAUGUGAUCAAAAAUAAAAUAUGUUCAAACUCUGAACACCCUCACCCUGGGCUAAUUUUCAGUCACUUGUCAUUAACUGACUGGUAGUGAAGGGAGCUGGCUUGAUUGACAGAUGUUGUCAUAAGUUAUGAAUAAUGUUCACAUGAUACAUGCCCACCUGCCAGUGACUCCUAUUUACCAUGCAAAUAUAAGAGACUCACCUGACCUUCACAGAAACAGAUGGGAUACAUCCCGAAUGACACCCUAUUCCCUAUACAGUGCACUAAUUUUGACCAGGACCCAUAGGGCACUAUGUAGGGCAUAGGGUGCCAUUUGGGACGCAGACAUGGAUGAAGGGAUGGUUUGCAUGAAACGAGUGAUGACAUAGACAUAGAUAUGACACGACGAGGAGGAGAAUAAUAUGAGAUGAUUGUUGCGUAGUGAACAGCAGAGACAACUCUAAACAGGGUUUAGAUGAAGGAAUGUGUGUGUGGAGAUGACAGUGAGAGCAGUGUUAAUUCAGAUUAUUGAUCCAUUCUGUUAUGGUGCAUUGUAGUAUUAUGCAGAAAAGCGUUCUAUCAUGUCUUUGUCUGUAGAAGGAUGAGUGGCUAGCUUGUAUGGAGACAUGAGAAUCAGAGACCGUUUGCACCGGUGUUCUUUCAUGUCUUCACCUUUUGGAGGAAUAAAUGGCUAAAGGAACACAUACCUAAGAUGAGAGUCUAGAUUCAGAGACUGUUGUCCUUCUAUGACCAUGUCUGUGUCUCCGUCAUGGUCCAGGAGUUCCAGGUCCAGCCCAGUUCUCACCAGGUGGAACAGCUUGACCUCAGCCUUCUCAGCACAGUCAGCUCCACUCAGGUUAGUCAUGCUGCCAACUCCAGGCGCUCUUUUGUUAACCAGUAUUUAUCCUUAUUGAAGCGGUGAGGAUCUGAGGCUGGAUUGCAAUUGCAACAUACUAUGCAAUAACUGGCAUGAGGUGAUGUACGUUUACAGAAAGUGUGCAUCCCUCUGUGUGCAUGCUUGUGUGUGUGUGCGUUUGCAUGCCUGCCUGUGUGCUUGUGUGUUUGUGUCUGCAAGCUCAUGUGCAUGUGUAUUUAUAUGAAUGUGUGCAUUUGUGUGUUAUCCCAGUGUAAUGGAUGUGCUGAAUCUGUGGAGUGACGACCCAGAGGAGGUCCUACUAGAUCUGGGCUUCGGCUGUGACGAGCCUGACAUCUCUGGACGGAUCCCUGCCCGCUUCAUCAACAACCAGUCCAGCGCCCGGGGAAUCAACAUCCAGGUGUUCCUGGACGCCCAGAAGAACCGCAUGGACAUAGAGAACCCUGAUGUCAGCAGUAAGGGAUGUUACACUGUAAACAUACUCCUCAGACAUUCUGUCAUGUGCUCUUAAUACACUGAAAACAUACUGUAGAUACCUUGACAUGCUGUCAUUCUCUUUAUACACUUUACAAAUACUGUACUGUAGUUAUGUCAUGUGCUGUCAUAUGAUGUUUAAGCUAGCCACAUACAUGUUCUAGCUCCAGGAACCUUGGCAACUACUGGCAUGAACAUGAACAUGGUCAUGGGAUUCUUUUUGUGCUUUAUGUGUUGAAACUGUUGUGUAUCCAGUGUCCUCUCUGGUGAGAACACCGUGCAUUUAUUCCACCUGAUGGAGACAGUCCUAUAAGACUGAUAACAUGGUUAGCUGGUUUGCCAACUUUG